CCAGGUCGGCGGUGGGCUGAGUUCCGGCGGCGUGGGCGUCUGUAGGCUGCCGCUUCCACCGUCCUUCUCUGGGCGUAGCAAUUGUUGUCCUGGUUACGGGUCCUAACGGUCUGCGGCCUGAGAUUUAUUUUUUCAUUUUUUAUUUUUGGAGGGGCUGCAACCGGAGCUGCUGUCUGAAGACGCCUUCCGCUCCUUCAAGUGGCAGAAGUGGUGACAGUGGCGGUAGCCCACCCUUCGACGUGGGGUAAUUGAAGCUUUCGAGGUAGCGCUCGGCUAUGCCUUCCUAUCCCGCGGGGGGCGAGCAAUUCUCCCAUGCUGCCAAGCUUGGAUUUUAAUUCUUCACCUCGCCCGUGUAGGCAGUCCCAUAUCCUUUGUGAUCCAGAAAAUUGAAAUAGAAUUGGAGAAGAAAACUGACCCAUAAUAACAAUGUCUCGAAAAAUUGCCAAGGCAUCAAAAACAAUAAACGUCUCUAGCUCUCUAGAAUCUGAAGACAUUAGUUUAGAAACAACAGUUCCUACAGAUGACAUUUCCUCAUCAGAAGAGCAAGAUGGUAAAACCAAAAUCACCAGGCAGCUAAUCGAACGGAAAGAAUUACUUCAUAAUCUUCAGUUACUGAAAAUAGAGCUAUCCCAGAAAAAUAUGAUGAUCGACAACUUGAAAGUAGACUAUCUUACAAAGAUUGAAGAGUUAGAGGAGAAACUUAAUGAUGCUCUUCACCAGAAGCAGCUGCUAACACUGCGAUUAGACAGCCAAUUGACUUUCCAGCAGAAGGAUGCCAGAAAAUAUCAAGAACUAAUGAAACAAGAAAUGGAAACUAUUUUAUUGAGACAGAAACAACUAGAAGAGACAAAUCGUCAGCUAAGAGAGAAAGCUGGAGAUAUUCGUCGAAACCUGCGUGACUUUGAGUUGACAGAAGAGCAAUACAUGAAACUGAAAGGUUUUCCUGAAGAUCAGCUUUCUAUUCCUGAAUAUGUAUCUGUUCGGUUCUAUGAACUAGUGGAUCCAUUAAGAAAGGAAAUCUCUGAACUACAAGUGAAAAAAAAUAACCUAUCAGAAGAAUUGAGUGAAAACAAAGGCCAACUGAAACAACUGACAGAGAGUUAUGAGGAAGAUCGAAGAAACUACUCUGAGAUUCAAAUUAGAUGUCAACGUUUGGCCUUAGAAUUAGCAGACACCAAACAGUUAAUUCAGCAAGGUGACUACCGUCAAGAGAACUACGAUAAAGUCAAAAGUGAACGUGAUGCACUUGAACAAGAAGUAAGUGGAUUAAGGAGAAAACAUGAAGUUCUUGAAGCCUCUCACAUAAUUCAAGCUAAAGACAGAAGUGAAUUAUCAAAAGAGGUGGCCACCUUACAGCAGACAGUUACUUUACUGCAAAAGGAUAAAGAAUACCUCAACCGCCAAAACAUGGAGCUUAGUGUUCGCUGUGCGCACGAAGAGGAUCGCCUUGAAAGACUUCAGGCUCAACUUGAGGAAACCAAAAAGGCUAGAGAAGAGAUGUAUGAAAAAUACGUAAUAUCCAGAGACCAUUAUAAAACAGAAUAUGAAAAUAAACUAUGUGAUGAACUGGAACGAAUCAAGUUGAAAACUAAUCAAGAAAUUGAUCAACUUCGAAGUGCCUCUAGGGAAAUGUAUGAACGGGAGAACAGAAAUCUCCGAGAAGCAAGGGAUAAUGCUGUGGCUGAAAGGGAACGCGCAGUGAUGGCUGAAAAGGAUGCUGUUGAAAAACAUAAUCAGCUCUUAGACAGGUACAGAGAACUUCAACUUAGUACAGAAAGCCAAAUAACCGAACUUCUCCAUCAAAGUAAAUUUAAAUCUUUUGAAAGUGAACGUGUUCAACUUAUACAAGAGGAAACUGCAAGAAAUCUCACACAGUGUCAGUUGGAAUGUGAAAAAUACCAGAAAAAAUUGGAGGUUUUAACUAAAGAAUUUUAUAGUCUCCAAGCCUCUUCUGAAAAACGCAUUACUGAACUUCAAGCACAGAACUCUGAGCAUCAGGCAAGGCUAGACAUUUAUGAGAAAUUGGAAAAAGAGCUUGAUGAAAUAAUAAUGCAAACUGCAGAAAUUGAAAAUGAAGAUGAGGCUGAAAGGGUUCUUUUUUCCUAUGGUUAUGGUGCUAAUGUUCCCACAACAGCCAAAAGACGACUAAAGCAAAGUGUCCACUUGGCAAGAAGAGUGCUUCAGUUAGAAAAACAAAACUCGUUGGUUUUAAAAGACCUGGAACAUCAAAAGGAACAAGUAACACAGCUUUCACAAGAGCUUGACAGGGCCAAUUCUCUGUUAAAUCAAACUCAACAACCUUAUAGAUAUCUUAUUGAAUCAGUGCGUCAGAAAGAUUCUACGAUUGAUUCCCUAAAGGAGUGUAUUACACAACUUGAGAAAGAUGUCAGCAAUUUAAAUAAAGAAAAGUCAGCUUUACGACAGACGAAGAAUCAAAUGGCAUUAGAUUUAGAACAACUUCUAAAUCAUCAUGAGGAAUUGGCAGCAAUGAAACAGAUUGUCACUAAUAUGCACGAUAAGCAUCCUAAGGACAGGUUACUUCUUUCUAAAACGGAACCCAAAAAUGUAACAGAAAAUCAGAAUUCAAAAACUUUGAAUGUGCCUAGAGAACAUGAAGACAAUAUAUUUAUACCCAAACCAACACUCUUUGAAGAGAGCACACAGAGUACAUUGAUGAUAAUGGGAACCAUAAGAUCAGUUGAAAACCGCAAGAUCCACCAAAGACUUAAAGCCUAUCACACUCUCUGAUCUGCUUUUCUGACCCUUGUCUGUGCCAAGCAGUGAACUAACUAUUCUUCUGACCCUGUUGUGCUGCCCAUCUGACUUCAGCUGACCAAAAAAGAAGCACCUGAGUGGUCUAAGAAGCAGAAGAUGAAGACCUAGUAUUUGGAUGGAUUUUCUAUAUCAUUAUUUACUCCCAAAGUUCUUUUUCUGAUGAACAAAAAGUUUAUCUAAAUCAUGUGCUUGUCAUUUUUUAAAUAACUAAUGUAAAAUUUAUUUUAACUGAAUGUCAAAUUAACAGAUUUCAGCAUAAUCAAAAUGUACAAAGUGAAAACAGUAGUAUACUUUAUAUUUGGUUUUAUCUAUUUUGUUACAAAAUAAAUAUAUUCUCUAUGAUUUAAA